rnacentral:rRNA from 1 species
GACGAACGCUGGCGGCGUGCCUAAUACAUGCAAGUAGAACGCUGAAGGAGGAGCUUGCUUCUCCGGAUGAGUUGCGAACGGGUGAGUAACGCGUAGGUAACCUGCCUGGUAGCGGGGGAUAACUAUUGGAAACGAUAGCUAAUACCGCAUAAGAGUAGAUGUCGCAUGACAUUUGCUUAAAAGGUGCAACUGCACCACUACCAGAUGGACCUGCGUUGUAUUAGCUAGUUGGUGAGGUAACGGCUCACCAAGGCAACGAUACAUAGCCGACCUGAGAGGGGGAUCGGCCACACUGGGACUGAGACACGGCCCAGACGCCUACGGGAGGCAGCAGGAGGGAAUCUUCGGCAAUGGACGGAAGUCUGACCGAGCAACGCCGAGUGAGUGAAGAAGGUUGUCGGAUCGUAAAGCUCGGUUGUAAGAGAAGAACGAGUGUGAGAGUGGAAAGUUCACACUGUGACGGUAUCUGACCAGAAAGGGACGGCUAACUACGUG